rnacentral:rRNA from 1 species
AUUGAACGCUGGCGGCAGGCCUAACAAAUGCAAGUCGAGCGGAGCGGCGGACGGGUGAGUACUUCCUAGGAAUCUGCCUGGUAGUGGGGGAUAACUUCAGGAAACGGGCGCUAAUACCGCAUACUAUCAGAUGAGCCUAGGUCGGAUUAGCUAGUUGGUGGUGUGAAGGCCUACCAAGGCGACGAUCCGUAACUGGUCUGAGAGGAUGAUCAGUCACACUGGAACUUAGACACUGUCCAGACUCCUACGGGAGGCAGCAGUGGGGAAUAUUGGACAAUGUGCGAAAUCCUGAUCCAGCCAUGCCGCGUGUGUGAAGAAGGUCUUCGGAUUUUAAAGCACAUUAAGUUGGGAGGCGUUACCAACAGAAUAAGCACCGGCUAACUACGUGCCAGCAGCCGCGGUAAUAC